UUUUUUGUUUGUUUUUUA
rnacentral:sRNA from 1 species